AUGCGCGCCGGGCCGACGGGGUGGCGGCUCAGCGACGGGGGAGUGCCCGUUCCCCCGUUACCCGACGCCGUGGCGAAGCCCAUGUACUUCGCCGAGGAGGUCGAGGUCGCGCGCGCCUCCCUGACCGACGACGAGCGCUCCCUCCCCCAGUACACCGCCGGCAAUCACGCGGCUUGGGCAGCGUACUUCCAGCGCCGCCAGCAGCAGCGCCUGUCCUCCACCAACGGCGCGCCGGUGGUCGGCGGCGUGAAGAACAGCGUGGGGCGCCACCUGUGGUGGGGCGUCCCCGGCCGCACGCUGGAGGGCGUGCUGGCGCACCUCGACGGUGGCAACAACCCGCCGUUGACCUAUCCUGCGACGGGGGCCGCCCCGUCACAACACCGACGCGCAUGGGCGCCAAGGAGGUUCGUCUCCUCCUCGUCUUCCUCCUCUCGCUCAUCUUCCCACUCCUCCGGUUCUUCGGCGCUUCUCGGCGUCAAGGCCGAGCCCGCGACGGAGACACCAAUCGGUCGGCGCACUCGCAGCGUCGGCAUCGUCAUCAACGAGGGCGGCCGGCGCGCCCCCUCCUCGUCGGCUCCUCCGCGCUUCGUCAAGCCAAAGAUGGAGCCGGGGCUGGCGCCGGUGAAGACGGAGCCAGGGCUGGCGCCGGUGGAGGCGGAGUUCGACGACGACAACGCGGCUCUAGAAUGGGCGCGCGAGGACUCCAUUGCGAUGGAGAAAGCGUGUCGGGAGAAGUAG
rnacentral:rRNA from 1 species